GAUGAACGCUGGCGGCGUGCCUAAUACAUGCAAGUCGUGCGGUAAGGCCCUUCGGGGUACACGAGCGGCGGACGGCUGAGUAACACGUAGGAAUCUACCCCAAACUGAGGGAUAAGCACCAGAAAUGGUGUCUAAUACCGCAUGUGCUCUAAGGAGUAAAGCUUCGGCGGUUUGGGAAGAGCCUGCGUAAGAUUAGCUUGUUGGUGAGGUAAUGGCUCACCAAGGCGACGAUCUUUAGCUGGUCUGAGAGGAUGAUCAGCCAGACUGGGACUGAGACACGGCCCAGACUCCUACGGGAGGCAGCAGUAGGGAAUUUUCCACAAUGGGCGAAAGCCUGAUGGAGCAACGCCGCGUGCAGGAUGAAGGCCUUAGGGUUGUAAACUGCUUUUAUAUGUGACGAAUAUGACGGUAGCAUAUGAAUAAGGAUCGGCUAACUCCGUGCCAGCAGCCGC
rnacentral:rRNA from 1 species